CAAGACCUGUUCAACAACAGUGGAUGGAGAGCAAAUGGUGAACGGGCCCUGGAUCCCACGGCAAGCAGCGGCAGUGGGUUAGGUUCAGCCCACGGUGUUACUGAUAGUAGAGAGAGACAGGAAAGGCAGGGGAGAGAGAGGGGAUGACACGCAGCGAAGGGCUCAGGCCGGACCCUAACCCAGGCCACCAUGGCAAGGAUUCAGCUCCACGUGGUACGUGCGCCACCAGCGUGGAGGUCCAUAUUCUUCUCAACUUAUGGCACGCACUCCAGGCAAGUGACAAAUGUACAGCUAUAUGAAGAGCUCCCAAUGGUAUCCACAAAAGUGCAACAGAGAAGGAUGCAUCCCGCAGGCCACUGCGUGCGUCACAGUGAUGAAGCUGCCAACAAACUUGUGCUCUGGCAACCACCUGAUGGAAAAACUCAACGUGGUAGAAGAAGGAUCACCUAUGUGGACAACCUACUAAGGGACACAGGGGUGGAGAAUGUACAGGAGCUAAAAACGAUCAUGAAAGAGCGGGAUAGUAGGAAAUUGCAUGUGGAAACGGUUAUGGGGCGUCCUGACCAACGACCUAGGUGAGGUGAGGAGGAAUUCUGAUGUACGGC